AUGCAAGUCGAACGCGAAAGUCCCCUUCGGGGGGCGAGUAGAGUGGCGGAAGGGUGAGUAAUGCCUAGACAAUCUACCCUCGAGUUGGGGACAACAGCCGGAAACGGCUGCUAAUACCGAAUGUAGCCUCGUGAUCGCAUGGUCGUGAGGUGAAAGGUGGGUUUCGGCCUGUCGCUCGAGGAGGAGUCUAGGUCCUAUCAGCUUGUUGGUGAGGUAACGGCUCACCAAGGCUUUGACGGGUAGCCGACCUGAGAGGGUGACCGGCCACACUGGAACUGAGACACUGUCCAGACUCCUACGGGAGGCUGCAGUCGAGAAUCUUCGGCAAUGGACGAAAGCCUGACCGAGCGACGCCGCGUGGAGGAUGAAGGCCUUCGGGUUGUAAACUCCUGUCAGGAGUUAAGAAAUCCGGGUGUGUUAAUACCAUGCCCGGCUGACAAAAGCUCCAGAGGAAGUCAUGGCUAACUCUGUGCCAGCAGCCGCGGUAAUACAGAGAUGGCAAGCGUUGUUCGGAUUUACUGGGCAUAAAGGGCACGUAGGCGGAUUGGUAAGUCAGGUGUGAAAUCCCUCGGCUCAACCGAGGAACUGCGCCUGAUACUGUCAGUCUUGAGGGCAGGAGGGGAGAGUGGAACUCUUGGUGGAGCGGUGAAAUGCGUAGAUACCAAGAGGAACGCCGGUGGCGAAAGCGACUCUCUGGCCUGUUUCUGACGCUGAGGUGCGAAAGCUAGGGAAGCAAACAGGAUUAGACACCCUGGUAGUCCUAGCCGUAAACGAUGGGCACUAAGUAAGCGAGGUUCCGAGACUUUGCCUGCCGGAGCUAAUGCAUUAAGUGCCCCGCCUGGGGAGUAUGAUCGCAAGGUUAAAAC
rnacentral:rRNA from 1 species